rnacentral:tRNA from 3 species
GCCCCCGUUGUGUAGCGGCCUAGCACGCCGCCCUCUCAAGGCGGUAGCGCCGGUUCGAAUCCGGUCGGGGGUACUA